rnacentral:tRNA from 1 species
ACUUAGGUAGCUUAUAUAGAGUAUAGCAUUGAAGCUGCUUUGGAGGUAAUUUACCCUUGAGUG